rnacentral:rRNA from 1 species
UACGAAGGGGGCUAGCGUUGUUCGGAAUUACUGGGCGUAAAGCGCGCGCAGGCGGCUAUCCAAGUCAGUGGUGAAAGCCCGGAGCUCAACUCCGGAACUGCCAUUGAAACUGUUUAGCUUGAGGAUGAGAGAGGUGAGUGGAAUUCCCAGUGUAGAGGUGAAAUUCGUAGAUAUUGGGAAGAGCACCGGUUGCGAAGGCGGCUCACUGGCCCGGUACUGACGCUGAGGUGCGAAAGCGUGGGGAGCAAACAGG